rnacentral:rRNA from 1 species
AACGAACGCUGGCGGCAGGCUUAACACAUGCAAGUCGAGCGCCCCGCAAGGGGAGCGGCAGACGGGUGAGUAACGCGUGGGAAUCUACCCAUCUCUACGGAAUAACGCAUGGAAACGUGUGCUAAUACCGUAUACGUCCUUCGGGAGAAAGAUUUAUCGGAGAUGGAUGAGCCCGCGUUGGAUUAGCUAGUUGGCGGGGUAAAGGCCUACCAAGGCGACGAUCCAUAGCUGGUCUGAGAGGAUGAUCAGCCACACUGGGACUGAGACACGGCCCAGACUCCUACGGGAGGCAGCAGUGGGGAAUAUUGGACAAUGGGCGCAAGCCUGAUCCAGCCAUGCCGCGUGAGUGAUGAGGGCCCUAGGGUUGUAAAGCUCUUUCACCGGUGAAGAUAAUGACGGUAACCGGAGAAGAAGCCCCGGCUAACUUCGUGCCAGCAGCCGCCGUAACAC